CUGGAUUUGUCCCGAGUCAAGCUGCAAAAGAAGUCUUGCUGGAAAAGCCGUUGUUGAGUCGUUUCCUGGGCGGCAGGAAGCAGUAUCGCAAACGAGGCGGUAACACAGAGUGUUUCUGGAAAUACUGUGUCUGAAACAUCCAGUUAAUAACACUCAAGCACUUACAGUACAUGCGCCCGCGUGCUCUCCUGAGCUUUACGUGACAUUUUCAACGCUAGUGUACAAACUCUGUGGGCCUGAUGCACUAAAUUAGCAAAAAAUAUAUAUUUAUGUUUGAUGUUGGAAAAAUAGUGGAUAAUUUAUUUGUACAUACCUGUACAUGCUUUCAGCUUUGAUGUAAAUAAAGUAAAUAUGUUUAAAAAAGUUAUUGUGUGCUUACUACUUUAGACAAUUAAAAGGCUCAAGAUACAAAAAAAAAAAAAAAAAUACUUUGAGGAUUGUAUUUAAAAACAACAGUUUGAGUCAUCGUGGUCUUUUAUUCAUAGUUAUCAUGUGCUGUCAAAAUAUUUCCCUGAAUUUGACACAAAUUAAUUUGACACCUUUUUUUUUUUUUUU